UACUGCUAGAUCUAAGCAGACGCUUCAGACCGAAGCAACUAACCUUUCUGCACAGCUUACCAUGCUUCAGGGGAGCAUCUAUGGCCUCGUUCUUAUGGACUGACUAAUGGUCCAUCGUUGACUGAUUUACACAACAUUCGCCCUGCUGAUGUAAAUGUCAAUUCAUCAAGGGGGAACAAGUACUAUGGUGAAUGUGUUACUAGCUCAACCAAAUGUUUGAGGCCAGCUAACAAAGAAGCUGCUUUG